rnacentral:snoRNA from 1 species
AUCCCCUGAUGAGGAGAGGCGGCUACGUACUCCUGCAGUCGUACGCAUGCUUCUGGAAUAGACUCGUCCCUUGUCUACUGGAAACUAGAAAUCCUUCCACGAAGGGC